GGUCAGUUUGCUGGCCCUUACGUGGCACAUUUAACACUGAUUCAAACGGCAAAAACUUUUGGCUGCUUAGGGAAUAAAAACACUCAAGUAAGCCCGUGUUUCAGCUCCUCCCCCAGGUCUAAGAAGGGAGGGGAAAGAAUCUGAUGGCCUCUGAUGUGAUGAGGCAGCAUCAGAGAGAUUCUUCCACCUGCCCCCAGAUGUGUCUGUCCCUCUCCCCCGCUGCUGACGGGUCCCACUUCCCUUCACCAUCCUGCCUCGCUUCUCCGCGGCCGGCCUGACUUGGUGGCAUUUCCUGUCCCGCGAUUGACAGCAAGAUAAGGUCCACAGCAUGGACCAAAUCAGGGAAGGCAGGCUUGGGUUAGGAGAGGGGAGAAAAGGCAGUUUUCUGCAGGUGCUCCCUAGUCACCCGCCGAAGCUUGCCCUUGACCCCAUCAGGAGCAUGCACAGCCAGCCAGCCGCAGAGAUGUGAGACUGAGGUGCUCCUAGUGGCUCAUAGACAGGCUUCUUCUCGGAAGAGGGAUGAUGCAGCCAGAGACCUGGAGUUACACAAAGGCCCUGUGAUCUGUGGGUGAUUGUCCAAGACGGUGUUUUCCAGGGGAUCUUGGAAUGUGACCAAAAAGGGGCUGGAGCCAGUCUGUAGGUCACCGCAGGGUCCGCAGCCAGGAUUGAGGUCUAUAUGCCUCUUGCCCGUUCCGUGGGUGGGCGAUACUUCUCCUGAAUCCGUGGCUCCCACAAAGGCACUUUUGUCUGUGAGCGGACACCAAAUUGUCACUGAAGAGGGGGACAGGAAUAAGAAACCUCUCACUCCGGCAUGAUGUGGAUGUCGCUCACCGCGUCUUGGCCCUUGGCUUUAGUUUCAGCCACGGAGAUAGUUUGGAUUUGAGAGUUCGUGACUACCAAUUUCUGUCUCCCGCAACAUGGGCAGACACCGUGUGGACAAAAGGGACAGGGAGGCUGAAAGAGGUACGGGGCUCGCAACAGAGCCCUGGGCAAAGCGUUGGGAAUGGUGAGCCAGGGUCAGUGUGAUUUGGCUAAAUGUUUGUGGUGUUCACCAUUACCUCAAAGCCUUACUUUGGGUCCUGCAGGUGGGGUCUACAGUAGGGGAGUCAAGAGCCCAGGGAAAUCGCUCACGGCCAGUAUAGCACUGGGCUGUGGCAGGGAGGACUUGACUCAGCUCCCGAGACAUCGGAAACGGCUCUCCUUAGGGUUACCGACUGUCUCAAUACGCCCAGGACUGUCCCUUCAUCUUGGGAAAACUUGGACAGGUGCGCCAUUUAGCCAUGAGAUUAGAGCACAACCUUUGGGGUUGGAGGGCUUGAGAGACCCCUUAAGGCAGACCUGUAGAUUAUACCACACACACACACACACACACACACACUCGCGUGCGCGCGUUUUCUUUGUUUUCAAAAAACUUAACUUUAACAUUUUCUCAUGUCAUUAAAUAUUAUUCUGUGAGACCAUUUAUAAGUACUGCAUUCCAGGGGCGCCUGGGUGGCUCAGUCGGUUAAGCGUCUGGCUUCGGCUCAGGUCAUGAUCUCACGGUUCGUGGGUUCGAGCCCCGCGCGGGGCUCGGUGCUGAGAGCUCAGAGCCUGGAGCCUGCUUUGGAUUCUGUGUCUCCCUCUCUCUCUGCUCCUGCCCUGCUCACACUCUGUCUCUGUCUCUCAAAAAAGUGAAUAAACAUUAAAAAAAUACUGCACUCCAUCAUAUAGAUGUAGCACAAGUUAUUUAACAAAGCCCUUAUUUUUGACAUUUUGGUUGCUGAUGGAUAGGAUUUUGACAGCUGAAAAAUCCUAAAAAUGAUGAAAAACAGUUUUUCUCUCAUUUCCAAAAUGCCAUGAAUUGUAAGAGCCACCAUCAAUUUAAAUAGCAGCUUUUAAAGGAAAAAAAAAAACCCAGAAGAAACACGACAUCGAGCAUCCAUUAAAAAAUGAUCUAAAUUACCCCUGUAAUUUUUAAUAUCUGCUACUUCCCUUUUUAGAAUCAUUACCCAAUUUGAAUGUUUCUCACAUUCAGGGCCUAAAGAUUUUCCUGAGUGGUUCUUCUCCACAAGCAUUCCAAGCGACUCACUGCUUUUCAUAACGUCCUCAAGGUUCUCGGUCUCUUUGGUACCGUUAAUUUCACGACCUGGCAAGUAUCGUAGGGACAAUCCUUCCGGCUUCUUUCAAACUGUGUUUCCUAGCUGCCUUCUCUUGGAAGAGGCUUCAGUGGUUUGUCUUAGAUCAAUCAGUGUCAUCUAUUUGCAAGGGCCUUUGCUCGACAAAGAGACGAGAGCCAACAGGUAAACUCCCCGCAAAGUUGCCAAGGUUGGUGGGAAUGUGGGACCCUUACUGGCAGACCGUCGGGCUCCGAGGGGCCCCUCGGUGCUUUUCUUCAGAAAUCUUUUCAUUCCCCAAACAUUUUCAAAUUGCUGUUUCCUUUCCUUUAUUGUGACACAGUCAAAAGAGGCAGGCUUUUUUUUUUUUUUUUCCUGUGGAAAAACAACGCUGGGUUCUGGUUUCUCUUUGUUGGAAGAGAAAGACUUGAAGUGGGCCUCACAGGCCUGAACUAUCAGAUACACAAACUAUGUGGGGAUCCCCGGGGUACUGGCUACAAGUAUGGGCUCCCAACAUGGCUUAGUAUCAUCUGUAGGUUUGGCCCAACUGUAAUUUGUAAUUGGAAAGGGCUUUGUCCUCUGUGGCCCUUCCAUCAGUCAUGGGCCAUAAACUUGGCACAAAGAUUCCACAAUAUGAGAGAAGGGAGAUGUGACAUUUCAGAAGGCGGCUGUUGGUUCUUGAUGUAAACCGUCAGAUCCGAUUGGUGAUAAGGCCAAGUUCAGACAUCGUAAGCUCCUUAAACCAGUGAGUGAUGGAGCAGGGGAGCUAAGUGGCUGUCUGGAACGGGUGCUCCUUUCCAAGUCAGGAAAGAAGAGGCUUUUAAAAUAUUUCCCAAAGCAGUUGUGGUCAAAGAGAGGGGAAUAUGUGUCUUGGAGGGGAAAGGAGAUGAUUUUCACGCGUCCCUAAACCCCCAACUGGGAUAAAAACGCAGGUAGGUUUCAUCAAGGCAUAGUAAUUUUGUAAAGGUCCAGAGAUUUGCCGACUUGACCAAUGAGGCCUUGGUUUUUAGAAGGAUGGAAAACAGUGACGUCGAUGGCGUCCGGAGAUGGUUUGUUUUCUGUCCCUUUACUUUCUCUACCCGCCUUCUAGGUGUUUAUGAGACAAGAUGAGUCCUAAGCAACUGCCAGUCAUCAUUUGAAAACGUGCUUUUAACUUAGCUGGUGGGUUUUAAAAUCUGACUCCUUCUCUGGGGGUGGGGGGCCUGUUCGUAGCCCCUCCUCCCCCUGAAGACAUCUAACGGUACUUUCCAUAAUCGGGUAACACAUUUCCCUGUUUCUGCGUUCCCCUCCACUCCACGAUCCAGUGAAGUCAGAUUCUCCUUGCGAAGGUUUUAGGCCUCUCUUGGGGGUCCUCGUGGGCAAGAUUUAAAUAGUUCCAGAUCAGCUGUCUUUCCAAUGCCAUUCUCAGGCUCCCCAAACUCUGAGAGUGUGGGCUACCCCCAACACAGCAAACUCCUCCCAGCUGCCAGAUCUCUCCCCUGUGAGAACUUUUUGUCGUGAGCUGGACGCCAAGCCAUUGUGUUUCCCCCAAGUUCUGGGGACGCCUUUCAGACACUCUAGGUGAUCCUGUUGCAACCUUACAUUGGCUUGAGGUGAGCUCGAUAACUCCAGAAAAAUUCUAUCUAAAAUCCUUCUUCCCUUAGGAGGCACCUGUGAGGCUCAGUUGGUUGAGCAUCCAACUCUUGGUUUCGGCUCAGGUCACGAUCUCGCAGUUCGUGAGUUCGAGCCCCGCAUCGGAGACUCCCUUGGAUUCUGUUCCUCCCCCACUCGCAAUCUGCUUCUCUCUCUCUCUCAAAAAUAAAGAUUUAAGAAAAAAAAAGAGUGCAGAUGUUCUAAUGGGGAGUAGCACCUGUGCCAGGGAAAGGAGGAAACAGGAUUGGGCAGGGGAAACCAUCAGACUGUGAUGAGACCCCCUCCUCACCCCAGGAGAGAGGUCUGGAGACACGGAUGACCAGCUCCAGGAGUCUUGCGUUGCAUGGAGAUGGCAAGGCCUGUUGCCACCGCCUUGCGCAGUCGGUUGCCCCGGGGGGGCUGCCCAGGAAGCAAGUGCCCUCAGCUAUCACCUCUUUACUCCGUCAUUCACUGGGAGCAAUGAUCGCCGUACCCUGAGAAAGGAAUGACCUUAUUUUGAAGGCCCAGGCGAACCUUGAUGAAGCAAACGGGUGGAAGCUGUAAGUUAACCACACUUUCCAGAACUGGACAGCAAGUUCUUCCUUGAAGGGGGUCUGACACAAAACUUAGUCCGUAUGCUCUGAUACCAAGUACAAAUCUUUUGGCUAUCUUUCCCUGUCUUCCUGUCUCUCUCUGAGAAGCCUGUGUGGCUCCCUCUGUCACUUCAUUCAGGCCUCUCCCAAAGUGGCCUUCUCAGAGAGGCUUCCUGUCAUCACCGUGUCUUCAUCCCAAUUGGGGCAGAGAUCUUGUCUCUUUGGUUCCUUAAAUAUCCCAGACCUGGUACGCCGUCUUACAUGUA